GACGAACGCUGGCGGCGUGCUUAACACAUGCAAGUCGAACGGUGAAGCGCCUUCCUUUUUGGUGGGUGUGGAUGAGUGGCGAACGGGUGAGUAACACGUGAGUAACCUGCCCCCUUCUUCUGGAUAACCGCAUGAAAGUGUGGCUAAUACGGGAUAUUCUGGGUCUGUGGCAUGAUGGGUCUGGGAAAGAUAUUGUUUCGGUGGGGGAUGGGCUCGCGGCCUAUCAGCUUGUUGGUGGGGUGAUGGCCUACCAAGGCGGUGACGGGUAGCCGGCCUGAGAGGGUGGACGGUCACACUGGGACUGAGACACGGCCCAGACUCCUACGGGAGGCAGCAGUGGGGAAUAUUGCACAAUGGGCGCAAGCCUGAUGCAGCGACGCCGCGUGAGGGAUGGAGGCCUUCGGGUUGUGAACCUCUUUCGCCAGUGAAGCAGGCCUGCCUCGUUUGUGGGUGGGUUGACGGUAGCUGGAUAAGAAGCGCCGGCUAACUACGUG
rnacentral:rRNA from 1 species